rnacentral:rRNA from 1 species
AGCGAACGCUGGCGGCAGGCUUAACACAUGCAAGUCGAACGCCCCGCAAGGGAGGUGGCAGACGGGUGAGUAACACGUGGGAACGUGCCCUUCGGUUCGGAAUAACUCAGGGAAACGUUGAGCUAAUACCGGAUACGCCCUGGAGCAAUCCGGGGGAAAGAUUUAUCGUCGAAGGAUCGGCCCGCGUCUGAUUAGCUAGUUGGUGAGGUAACGGCUCACCAAGGCGACGAUCAGUAGCUGGCUGAGAGGAUGAUCAGCCACACUGGGACUGAGACACGGCCCAGACUCCUACGGGAGGCAG